ACGGGUGAGUAACGCGUGGGAAUCUACCCAUCUCUGCGGAAUAGCUCUGGGAAACUGGAAUUAAUACCGCAUACGCCCUACGGGGGAAAGAUUUAUCGGGGAUGGAUGAGCCCGCGUUGGAUUAGCUAGUUGGUGGGGUAAAGGCCUACCAAGGCGACGAUCCAUAGCUGGUCUGAGAGGAUGAUCAGCCACAUUGGGACUGAGACACGGCCCAAACUCCUACGGGAGGCAGCAGUGGGGAAUAUUGGACAAUGGGCGCAAGCCUGAUCCAGCCAUGCCGCGUGAGUGAUGAAGGCCUUAGGGUUGUAAAGCUCUUUCACCGAUGAAGAUAAUGACGGUAGUCGGAGAAGAAGCCCCGGCUAACUUCGUGCCAGCAGCCGCGGUGAUACGAAGGGGGCUAGCGUUGUUCGGAAUUACUGGGCGUAAAGCGCACGUAGGCGGAUAUUUAAGUCAGGGGUGAAAUCCCGCAGCUCAACUGCGGAACUGCCUUUGAUACUGGGUAUCUUGAGUAUGGAAGAGGUAAGUGGAAUUCCGAGUGUAGAGGUGAAAUUCGUAGA
rnacentral:rRNA from 1 species